GAUGAACGCUGGCGGCGUGCCUAAUACAUGCAAGUCGAGCGAACAGAUGAGGAGCUUGCUCCUCUGACGUUAGCGGCGGACGGGUGAGUAACACGUGGAUAACCUACCUAUAAGACUGGGAUAACUUCGGGAAACCGGAGCUAAUACCGGAUAAUAUCUUGAACCGCCUGGUUCAAUAGUGAAAGACGGUUUUGCUGUCACUUAUAGACGGAACCGCGCCGCAUUAGCUACUUGGUAAGGUAACGGCUUACCAAGGCAACGAUGCGUAGCCGACCUGAGAGGGUGAUCGGCCACACUGGAACUGAGACAAGGUCCAGACUCCUACGGGAGGCAGCAGUAGGGAAUCUUCCGCAAUGGGCGAAAGCCUGACGCAGCAAGGCCGCGUGAGUGAUGAAGGUCUUCGGAUCGUAAAGCUCUGUUAUUAGGGAAGAAAAAAUGUGUAAGUAAAUAUGCAUGUCUUGACGGUACCUAAUCAGAAAGCCACGGCUAACUACGUG
rnacentral:rRNA from 1 species